rnacentral:rRNA from 1 species
GACGAACGCUGGCGGCGUGCUUAACACAUGCAAGUCGAACGGAAAGGCCCUGCUUUUGUGGGGUGCUCGAGUGGCGAACGGGUGAGUAACACGUGAGUAACCUGCCCUUGACUUUGGGAUAACUUCAGGAAACUGGGGCUAAUACCGGAUAGGAGCUCCUGCUGCAUGGUGGGGGUUGGAAAGUUUCGGCGGUUGGGGAUGGACUCGCGGCUUAUCAGCUUGUUGGUGGGGUAGUGGCUUACCAAGGCUUUGACGGGUAGCCGGCCUGAGAGGGUGACCGGCCACAUUGGGACUGAGAUACGGCCCAGACUCCUACGGGAGGCAGCAGUGGGGAAUAUUGCACAAUGGGCGGAAGCCUGAUGCAGCAACGCCGCGUGCGGGAUGACGACCUUCGGGUUGUAAACCGCUUUCGCCUGUGACGAAGCGUGAGUGACGGUAAUGGGUAAAGAAGCACCGGCUAACUACGUGCCAGCAGCCGCGGUGAUACGUAGGGUGCGAGCGUUGUCCGGAUUUAUUGGGCGUUAAGGGCUCGUAGGUGGUUGAUCGCGUCGGAAGUGUAAUCUUGGGGCUUAACCCUGAGCGUGCUUUCGAUACGGGUUGACUUGAGGAAGGUAGGGGAGAAUGGAAUUCCUGGUGGAGCGGUGGAAUGCGCAGAUAUCAGGAGGAACACCAGUGGCGAAGGCGGUUCUCUGGGCCUUUCCUGACGCUGAGGAGCGAAAGCGUGGGGAGCGAACAGGCUUAGAUACCCUGGUAGUCCACGCUGUAAACGGUGGGUACUAGGUGUGGGGUCCAUUCCACGGGUUCCGUGCCGUAGCUAACGCUUUAAGUACCCCGCCUGGGGAGUACGGCCGCAAGGCUAAAACUCAAAGGAAUUGACGGGGCCCCGCACAAGCGGCGGAGCAUGCGGAUUAAUUCGAUGCAACGCGUAGAACCUUACCUGGGUUUGACAUGGAUCGGGAGCGCUCAGAGAUGGGUGUGCCUCUUUUGGGGUCGGUUCACAGGUGGUGCAUGGCUGUCGUCAGCUCGUGUCGUGAGAUGUUGGGUUAAGUCCCGCAACGAGCGCAACCCUUGUUCACUGUUGCCAGCACGUUAUGGUGGGGACUCAGUGGAGACCGCCGGGGUCAACUCGGAGGAAGGUGGGGAUGACGUCAAGUCAUCAUGCCCCUUAUGUCCAGGGCUUCACGCAUGCUACAAUGGCUGGUACAGAGAGUGGCGAGCCUGUGAGGGUGAGCGAAUCUCGGAAAGCCGGUCUCAGUUCGGAUUGGGGUCUGCAACUCGACCUCAUGAAGUCGGAGUCGCUAGUAAUCGCAGAUCAGCAACGCUGCGGUGAGUACGUUCCCGGG